UACGAAGGGGGCUAGCGUUGCUCGGAAUCACUGGGCGUAAAGCGCACGUAGGCGGAUCUUUAAGUCAGGGGUGAAAUCCUGGAGCUCAACUCCAGAACUGCCUUUGAUACUGGGGAUCUCGAGUCCGGAAGAGGCGAGUGGAAUUCCGAGUGUAGAGGUGAAAUUCGUAGAUAUUCGGAAGAACACCAGUGGCGAAGGGCGACUCGCUGGACAGGUAUUGACGCUGAGGUGCGAAAGCGUGGGGAGCAAACAGG
rnacentral:rRNA from 1 species